rnacentral:rRNA from 1 species
UCUUCCCUCUGUCGGCGUGCCUAAUACAUGCAAGUCGAGCGACCAGACAAUGAGCUUGUUCCUCUGACGUUAGCGGCGGACGGGUGAGUAACACGUGGAUCACCUACUUAUAAUACGGGGAGAACUUCGGAAAAACGCAUCUAAUAACACAUCAUAUAUUGAACCGGAUUGUUCAGUAGUUAAUUACGCUUUUGCUGACUGUAUUAGCUGAAUCCGGGUGUAAUUGUUUAGUUGGUAAGGUAACGCCUUACCAAGGCAACGAAGCGUAGCCGACAUGAGAGGUUGAUCGGCCACACUGGAACUGAGACACGGUCCAGACUCCUACGGGAGGCAGCAGUAGGGAAUCUUCGGCAAUGGGCGAAAGCUUGACGGAGCAAUGCCGCGUGAGUGAUGAAGGUCUUCUGAUCGUAAAGCCCUGUUGUUAGGGAAGAACAAAUGUAGAAGUAAAUAUGGACGUCUUGACGGUACCUAAUCAGAAAGCAACGGCUAACUACGUG